GUCUCUGUCCCAUUCCCAUUUCAUUUUCAGAUCUCAAAGUCUCUUUCUCCCCGCCGCGACUUCCUUUCUGCUUCCUCAGUCUCUCUCUCUCUCCCUCUCCUUCCUCUCUUCCUCCAAAUCACUCUCUCUAGUCUUCUCUUGUCUUCCUCGUGGUUUUUUUUUCUCCAAACAAUGAUUUUCCCUCGCCCCUUUCGAGACCCGACGAAAAGAGGAAUUGUAAGAGCUUGCGACGAUCACUGCGAUAUCGCUGCAGCAAAGGGGUUGUUAAAAGCAGGAAAUCAUGAUUGGAUAUCGCGAUUCAUGGUCUUCACCUCUGGUGUUUGUUGGAUUGCUGGUACAUGGUCGCUGGAGCUUGCUUCGACGGCGGCAAGGGAACUUAGCAGCUAGGGUUUUCCGUUUUUUUCUUUCUUUUUCGGGCUCAACCCUUGGGUUGGGUUGUUGUUCUGGCCCAUUUUUUUGUUUGUGUUUAGUUGUGGGCUUUUAUAUGUAUGUAAGUUUAAUGAAAGUUUACAUUUUAUUAAAAAAAAAAAACCGAACCGGACUGAAACCGAA